rnacentral:sRNA from 1 species
UGUCAAUUUGGUGCAGAUGUUGGACGC